rnacentral:rRNA from 1 species
UGAACGCUGGCGGCAGGCCUAACACAUGCAAGUCGAGCGGCAGCACGGUACUUGUACCUGGUGGCGAGCGGCGGACGGGUGAGUAAUGCCUAGGAAUCUGCCUGGUAGUGGGGGAUAACGUUCGGAAACGAACGCUAAUACCGCAUACGUCCUACGGGAGAAAGCAGGGGACCUUCGGGCCUUGCGCUAUCAGAUGAGCCUAGGUCGGAUUAGCUAGUUGGUGAGGUAAUGGCUCACCAAGGCGACGAUCCGUAACUGGUCUGAGAGGAUGAUCAGUCACACUGGAACUGAGACACGGUCCAGACUCCUACGGGAGGCAGCAGUGGGGAAUAUUGGACAAUGGGCGAAAGCCUGAUCCAGCCAUGCCGCGUGUGUGAAGAAGGUCUUCGGAUUGUAAAGCACUUUAAGUUGGGAGGAAGGGCAGUUACCUAAUACGUAAUUGUUUUGACGUUACCGACAGAAUAAGCACCGGCUAACUCUGUGCCAGCAGCCGCGGUAAUACAGAGGGUGCAAGCGUUAAUCGGAAUUACUGGGCGUAAAGCGCGCGUAGGUGGUUCGUUAAGUUGGAUGUGAAAUCCCCGGGCUCAACCUGGGAACUGCAUUCAAAACUGUCGAGCUAGAGUAUGGUAGAGGGUGGUGGAAUUUCCUGUGUAGCGGUGAAAUGCGUAGAUAUAGGAAGGAACACCAGUGGCGAAGGCGACCACCUGGACUGAUACUGACA